rfam:Gossypium arboreum cultivar AKA8401 contig_21542_1, whole genome shotgun sequence.
UACCUGGUUGAUCCUGCCAGUAGUCAUAUGCUUGUCUUAAAGAUUAAGCCAUGCAUGUGUAAGUAUGAAUAGAUUUAGACUGUGAAACUGUGAAUGGCACGUUAAAUCAAUUAUAGUUUGUUUGAUGGUAUUUACUACUCGGAUAACCGUAGUAAUUCUAGAGCUAAUACGUGGAACAAACCUUGACUUCUGGAAGGGAUGCAUUUAUUAGAUAAAAGGUCGACGCGGGCUUUACUCAUUCCUUUGAUGACUCAUGAUAAUUCGACGGAUCGCAUGGCCUUUGUGUCGGCGACGCAUCAUUCAAAUUUAUGCCCUAUCAACUGUCGAUUGUAGGAUAGUGGCCUACUAUGGUGGUGAUGGGUGACAGAGAAUUAGGGUUCAAUUCUGGAGAGAGAGCCUGAGAAACGGCUACCAGAUCCAAGGAAGGCAGCAGGUGCGCAAAUUACCCAAUCCUAACACGAGGAGGUAGUGACAAUAAAUAACAAUACCAGGUUCUAUGAGUUUGGUAAUUGGAAUAAGUACAAUCUAAAUCCCUUAAUGAGGAUCCAUUGGAGGGCAAGUCUGGUGCCCACCAGCCGCGGUAAUUCCAACUCCAAUAGCGUAUAUUUAAGUUGUUGCAGUUAAAAAGCUCGUAGUUGGACUUAGGGAUGGGUCUGGCGGUCUGCCUCACGGUGAGCACCGGUCUGCUCGUCCCUACUAUCGACGAUGCGCUCUUGGCCUUAAUUGGCUGGGUCGUUCCUCCGACGUUGUUACUUUGAAGAAAUUAGAAUGCUCAAAGCAGGCCUACGCUUGUAUACAUUAGCAUGGGAUAACAUCAUAGGAUUUCGAUCUUAUUAUGUUGGCCUUCGGGAUCGAAGUAAUGAUUAACAGGGGACAGUCAGGGGCAUUCAUAUUUCAUAGUCAGAGGUGAAAUUCUUGGAUUUAUGAUAGACGGAAAACUGUGAAAGCAUUUGCCAAGGAUGUUUUCAUUAAUCAAGAAUAAAAGUUGGGGGCUCGAAGACUAUCAGAUACUGUCCCAGUCUCAACCAUAAAUGAUGCUGACCAGGGAUCGAUGGAUGUUGCUUUUAGGACUCCGCCGACACCUUAUGAGAAACCAAAGUCUUUGGGUUCUGGGGGGAGUAUGGUCGCAAGGCUGAAACUUAAAGGAAUUGACGGAAGGGCACCACCAGUUUUGGAGCCUGCCGCUUAAUUUAACUCAACACGGGGAAACUGACCAGGUCCAGACAUAGUAAGGUUUGACAGAUUGAGAGCUCUUUCUUGAUUCUAUGGGUGGUGGUGCAUGGCCGUUCUUAGUUGGUGGAGCGAUUUAUCUGGUUAAUUCCAUUAACGAACGAGACCUCAUCAUGCUAACUAGCUACAUGGAGGUGAUCCGCCAUGGCUAGCUUCUUAGAGGGACUAUAGCCUUUUAGGCCAAGGAAGUUUGAGGCAAUAAUAGGUCUGUAAUGCCUUUAGAUUUUCUAGGCCACACGCGCGCCACACUGAUGUAUUCAACGAGUCUAUAGCCUUGGCCAACAUGCUCGAGUAACCUUUGAAAUUUCAUCGUGAUGGGGAUAGAUGAUUGCAAUUGUUAGUCUUCAAUGAGGAAUUCCUAGUAAGCGCGAGUUAUCAGCUUGCGUUGACUAUGUCCCUACCCUUUGUACACACCGCUAUCGCUCCUACCGAUUGAAUGGUCUGGUGAAGCGUUCGGAUCGCAGCGACGUGGGCGAUUCGCUGCCCUCGACGUCACGAAAAGUCCAUUAAACCUUAUCAUUUACAGGAAGGAUAAGUCGUAACAAGGUUUCCGUAGGUGAACCUGCGGAAGGAUCAUUU